CAUCGAACACCACCACAGAAUUUUAAAGUAACAUUUACUACAGUUCUUGAGAGACUCCAAUGGAGUUUUAGAAUAUUUAUCCAAAUAACAUUCCCUCCAUAAACCUUACAUAAGAUGAGGAAAGGUGUGUCGUUUCAUGUACCCUCACCAUCUUAUUCUGUUCAUGUUAAGAGAUCCUACUGGCACCUUGACCACCCAACACUCCAAAACCAAGGACUGUCUCCCUGUCUUCUUAUAGAAGAAACAGAAGGCCCGAGCUACCAAAGGGGGUCCUGCAAGGAAGAAGUAAACUCCAUCGGAGAAAUUCUAGUGCAAUGACAAAAACACUACAGAAAUAAUCCUACUCAAUGUGACUCACAUAGUGAUGCUCUUUGCCUGUUGCUUCCUCGUGGAAAGGAUCUCUAAGAUACAAUAAACCCAAGGAAUAGGCCCUAACCCCAAUUAAAAGCAAGCUCAAGAAAUACUACCACGAAGGCAUGUAGUGCUAGAACACCCAACAACUUCUCACGUACUUUGGCAACUACCAUUUCUGCAAAUUAUUUGCAAAAAAAAUAGCUGCGAAGGCACAUCAAAGUUGUUAGGAGCUCUAAUACUACAUUCAUAUUUUUCAGCCAGCUCUCCAGCAAGGCUAGGAACAAUUACCUGGGUUUACUGU